GACGGAGGGUGCAAGCGUUGUUCGGAAUCACUGGGCGUAAAGCGCGUGUAGGCGGCUUGACAAGUCGAAUGUGAAAGCCCGGGGCUCAACCUCGGAAGUGCAUUCGAAACUGUCAGGCUUGAGUACGGGAGAGGGAAGUGGAAUUCCUGGUGUAGAGGUGAAAUUCGUAGAUAUCAGGAGGAACACCGGUGGCGAAGGCGGCUUCCUGGACCGAUACUGACGCUGAGACGCGAAAGCGUGGGGAGCAAACAGGAUUAGAUACCCUGGUAGUCCACGCCGUAAACUGUGAGCGCUAGGUGUAGCGGGUAUUGACCCCUGCUGUGCCGCAGCUAACGCAUUAAGCGCUCCGCCUGGGGAGUACGGUCGCAAGAUUAAA
rnacentral:rRNA from 1 species